rnacentral:rRNA from 1 species
ACAACAAAACAUACCACCCUGAACACAGCCAAUCUCGUCUGAUCUCAGAAAGUAAGCAGGGCCAGGUUGGUUUUGGAGGGAGACUGCCUGGGAAUACCAGGUGCAGUG